UACGGAGGGAGCUAGCGUUGUUCGGAAUUACUGGGCGUAAAGCGCGCGUAGGCGGCUUUGUAAGUUAGAGGUGAAAGCCCGGGGCUCAACCCCGGAAUUGCCUUUAAGACUGCAUCGCUUGAAUCCAGGAGAGGUGAGUGGAAUUCCGAGUGUAGAGGUGAAAUUCGUAGAUAUUCGGAAGAACACCAGUGGCGAAGGCGACUCACUGGACACGUAUUGACGCUGAGGUGCGAAAGCGUGGGGAGCAAACAGG
rnacentral:rRNA from 1 species